GCCGCGGCGAUAGCUCAGUGUGUAAAGCGCCAGGUGAGUAGAUUGCGAUUCUCCGCGCGGGUUCGAAUCCCGCCUGUGGCA